UGCCUAGGUAUCUGCCCAGUCGAGGGGGAUAACAGUUGGAAACGACUGCUAAUACCGCAUACGCCCUACGGGGGAAAGGAGGGGACCUUCGGGCCUUCCGCGAUUGGAUGAACCUAGGUGGGAUUAGCUAGUUGGUGAGGUAAUGGCUCACCAAGGCGACGAUCCCUAGCUGGUCUGAGAGGAUGAUCAGCCACACUGGAACUGAGACACGGUCCAGACUCCUACGGGAGGCAGCAGUGGGGAAUAUUGCACAAUGGGCGAAAGCCUGAUGCAGCCAUGCCGCGUGUGUGAAGAAGGCCU
rnacentral:rRNA from 1 species